rnacentral:tRNA from 1 species
GUCCCCAUCGUCUAGAGGCCCAGGACGUCGCCCUUUCACGGCGGCAACGCGGGUUCGAAUCCCGCUGGGGACG